rnacentral:tRNA from 1 species
GUUUUUGGUUCAGUGAUAGAAUGCUGCCUGCCACGCGGGCGCCCCGGGUUCGAUUCCCGGUCGAUGCA